AUGAACGCUGGCGGCGUGCCUAAUACAUGCCAGUCGAGCGAACAGACGAGGAGCUUGCUCCUCUGACGUUAGCGGCGGACGGGUGAGUAACACGUGGAUAACCUACCUAUAAGACUGGGAUAACUUCGGGAAACCGGAGCUAAUACCGGAUAAUAUAUUGAACCGCAUGGUUCAAUAGUGAAAGACGGUUUUGCUGUCACUUAUAGAUGGAUCCGCGCCGCAUUAGCUAGUUGGUAAGGUAACGGCUUACCAAGGCAACGAUGCGUAGCCGACCUGAGAGGGUGAUCGGCCACACUGGAACUGAGACACGGUCCAGACUCCUACGGGAGGCAGCAGUAGGGAAUCUUCCGCAAUGGGCGAAAGCUUGACGGAGCAACGCCGCGUGAGUGAUGAAGGUCUUCGGAUCGUAAAACUCUGUUAUUAGGGAAGAACAAAUGUGUAAGUAACUAUGCACGUCUUGACGGUACCUAAUCUGAAAGCCACGGCUAACUACGUG
rnacentral:rRNA from 1 species